CCCAGCAAAGAUAGGAAUCAGUGUUUCCAAACAGCCCACCGUCUAAUUUGUACUUAUGCAAAAGAGCCAUCCCAUAACACAAAUCAUGGAGCAAUUAACAUGCAGCACUCCAGCACAACUCUCCUUGCUCCUUUUUGAACUACCCUCAAUGCCAUUAAUGAGAGCUAAUUAAAUCAAUCGAGUCCCUGCCAUACUGGAAGAUGACUGGAGCAGUAUCAGAUCAGCUUUCUCAGGAACUUGUGUCCUUACACUGACCUGCAGCCCAGCGGGGAAGACAACACCACACUCAGCUCUGCAACCAGAAAUGUCAGAAACACGGCCAAAGGACACAGGAGAGCCACAGGAACGAGAACCCUCUACAGUGGCACAAGCUGUCCUCAUCCUGCAUGGAGCAGCUAACCUGGUCACCUAUCCUGACAACACUCAGCUCCACAGGAUGGCCCAUGACAAGGAAUAAAUCAUUCCCAGGUGUCUGUGCACGCACUUGAACAAGGUUCAAAGAAGUGGUUUCACACGAGUGGUUUCCCAGCCCCAGCUAUAUCCUCCCAUCUUGAUUUCAGAGUGAUUUCCAGAAUUAUUCCUACUCUUUCAGUCAUUUUCACCAGACCAGAGGCUGGUCCUGCUCUGCACAAGUGAUUGUGCUGUUGAUUUCAUCCUCCCUAAGCUCAGCCAGCGCAGUUCUGUGCCCUGGCAUGAUAUUAAAUGCAAAGAGAUUUUAGGAAGUUAACUAUGAGGCCAUGGUAAAGGAUUUUUCAGCAAAAUCAGGACCAGAUUUGAAAAAACAUUCAAGUCCUGACAGGAGCAGCAACACUAAACAGAGAUAAGGUGAAUACUGCAGGAAGGCAUUUUGUUAAUAAAAACCCCAAAACCAAGAGUUUACUGACUGAAACCACUGACCCUCAGUGAAACUGGAAUGGGAAAAUUAUCAAAAUGUUUUCAUUUUGUAUUUCAAAUUAUAACUCCUAAGUAAGUACCUAGGUAAAGGUAUUGUAAAAAAACAACCAAACAGGUAUUGAAAAGUCCAACAAAAAUCAAGGACUUUUAGUUUUGCUAGCUAACAAAUAACUCAAUUACUCACCCAGCA